rnacentral:tRNA from 1 species
GCAUUGGUGGUUCAGUGGUAAAAUUCUAGCUUGCCAUGUUGGAGGCCUGGGUUCGAUUCCCAGCCAAUGCA